rnacentral:rRNA from 1 species
UAGGGAAUCUUCCGCAAUGGACGCAAGUCUGACGGAGCAACGCCGCGUGAGUGAAGAAGGAUUUCGGUUCGUAAAACUCUGUUGUUAGAGAAGAACAGCGCAUAGAGUAACUGUUAUGCGUGUGACGGUAUCUAACCAGAAAGCCACGGCUAACUACGUGCCAGCAGCCGCGGUAAUACGUAGGUGGCAAGCGUUGUCCGGAUUUAUUGGGCGUAAAGCGAGCGCAGGCGGUCAAUUAAGUCUGAUGUGAAAGCCCCCGGCUCAACCGGGGAGGGUCAUUGGAAACUGGUUGACGUGAGUGCAGAAGAGGGGAGUGGAAUUCCAUGUGUAGCGGUGAAAUGCGUAGAUAUAUGGAGGAACACCAGUGGCGAAGGCGACUCUCUGGUCUGUAACUGACGCUGAGGCUCGAAAGCGUGGGUAGCAAACAGG